AAUAAUACUAAUUAUAUAUUUCAAGAAUGUAUGUAGGUCUUUCUAGGUACUCAAAUUGAAGAAAUAAUCUAUGAAAAAGAUCACCUCAAGAUUUACUAAGUCAAGAUCUUCGAAGAAAAAAAAUUCAAGUUCAGACUUAGUAGAGUCGACCCCAGAGCAAAAGGAGCUGACCCCUUCACUGAAAUAGGUAUUAAAAUGAUGUAUUUCAAGUUUCAGAAAGAUUAGAGUUGACUCCAGGAAUAUUGGAGUUGACUUUGGCAUGUUGGAAGAAGACUGGCAAGGAUUUGAGUUGACUCGAGAAAAAUUCGAGCCGACUCUAUUUACAGGAUAGAAAGUUGAAUUCUGCAUGCCUGAGAUCGAGUCAACUCAAAAUGAAAUCAAGUCAACUUAAAAUAAAACUGAAUUGACUCUAAAAAAAAUUGAGUCAACUCGUGAUACAGAAUAGACAUAACGGCUAGUUUUUUUGUACUUCUCCAAUGACUGGUGUUUAGGUCUAAUGGCUAUUCCAAGGGCUCCAAUGGUUCAAGCUCCUUUUCCAACCACUUCCAAGCUUAUAAAAGGCUAGAGAUUCAAUUAAGAAGGAAGCUAAGUGGAUUAAAUAGAGAAAAUCAUCAAAGCAUGUGAGGGUUAUUGAAUAUCAUUGAAAAAGAAGAAAAGAGAAGGAUUGAGUGCACAGAAUUGAGAGCUUUCAAAAAAAAUCUUCACCACCAUCAGCUACAUCCUCUCAACCAUCAUUUGAAGAG
rnacentral:lncRNA from 1 species